AUCCUUUUGUAGUUUGUAAGAGUCAUGAUUAGGUGUUAUGCUCUUAUGUGAGAUGUGCCUCCCUCAAACCUUGUUAUGACAUCAGCAAAUUACCCACAUAAUG